rnacentral:rRNA from 1 species
GUAGCUGUAGGUGAACCUUCGGCUGGAUCAUUA